UACGUAGGGAGCAAGCGUUGUUCGGAUUUACUGGGCGUAAAGGGCGCGUAGGCGGCAAUUCAAGUCAUCUGUGAAAUCUCCGGGCUUAACUCGGAACGGUCAGAUGAUACUGCUUUGCUAGAGUGCAGAAGGGGCAAUCGGAAUUCUUGGUGUAGCGGUGAAAUGCGUAGAUAUCAAGAGGAACACCUGAGGUGAAGACGGGUUGCUGGGCUGACACUGACGCUGAGGCGCGAAAGCCAGGGGGGCAAACGGG
rnacentral:rRNA from 1 species